AACGAACGCUGGCGGCAUGCCUAACACAUGCAAGUCGAACGAGAUCUUCGGGUCUAGUGGCGCACGGGUGCGUAACGCGUGGGAAUCUGCCCUUUGGUUCGGAAUAACAGCUGGAAACGACUGCUAAUACCGGAUGAUGACGAAAGUCCAAAGAUUUAUCGCCAGAGGAUGAGCCCGCGUAGGAUUAGCUAGUUGGUGUGGUAAAGGCGCACCAAGGCGACGAUCCUUAGCUGGUCUGAGAGGAUGAUCAGCCACACUGGGACUGAGACACGGCCCAGACUCCUACGGGAGGCAGCAGUGGGGAAUAUUGGACAAUGGGCGAAAGCCUGAUCCAGCAAUGCCGCGUGAGUGAUGAAGGCCUUAGGGUUGUAAAGCUCUUUUACCCGGGAUGAUAAUGACAGUACCGGGAGAAUAAGCUCCGGCUAACUCCGUGCCAGCAGCCGCGGUAAUAC
rnacentral:rRNA from 1 species